rnacentral:rRNA from 1 species
UUCUGGGAGGAUUGACAGACUGAAAGCUCUUUCUUGAUUCGGUGGGUAGUGGUGCAUGUCCGUUCUUAGUUGGUGGAGCGAUUUGUCUGCUUAAUUCCGAUUACGAACGAGACUCUAGCCUGUUACAACGUCUAUUAUAUAGGUGCGUGGUUCUCUGCACCUUGCACCCUUCUUAGAGGGACAAGCGGCUCCUAGCCGCACGAAACAGAGCAAUAACAGGUCUGUGAUGCCCUUAGAU